AUUGAACGCUGGCGGCAGGCUUAACACAUGCAAGUCGAGCGGGGAAGAGUAGCUUGCUACUUUACCUAGCGGCGGACGGGUGAGUAAUGCUUAGGAAUCUGCCUAUUAGUGGGGGACAACAUCUCGAAAGGGAUGCUAAUACCGCAUACGUCCUACGGGAGAAAGCAGGGGACCUUCGGGCCUUGCGCUAAUAGAUGAGCCUAAGUCGGAUUAGCUAGUUGGUGGGGUAAAGGCCUACCAAGGCGACGAUCUGUAGCGGGUCUGAGAGGAUGAUCCGCCACACUGGGACUGGGACACGGCCCAGACUCCUACGGGAGGCAGCAGUGGGGAAUAUUGGACGAUGGGGGGAACCCUGAUCCAGCCAUGCCGCGUGUGUGAAGAAGGCCUUUUGGUUGUAAAGCACGUUAAGCGAGGAGGAGGCUACCGAGAUUAAUACUCUUGGAUAGUGGACGUUACUCGCAGAAUAAGCACCGGCUAACUCUGUG
rnacentral:rRNA from 1 species